rnacentral:lncRNA from 1 species
CUAAGGACCGAGGAUCAGCAGGUAACAUUCAAUGUUUUUGAUAAGAUGGAGUGUGACGAUGGAGACCCACAGUGUUUUAAAAUCCAGGUUUACGAUCAUAUGGUUAAACAUGCUUUGAAAUUGCCUUGGAAUGCACACUACUCGCCACAUGGUGGCACUUCUUUUCCUUAACCCUCAGGGGUAGGGAACGUCAAGCAUCGGGACGUUAAACAAGCGCUGGUUGGGAGGCAACCCAACGGUUUUUAAUGUUUUAGUAUGUUUUCUUUUGAAGUAUGUAGGUAGGUGUGCAGCAGAAGCAAGGACGGAAGCAAAAACAGGG